UACGUAGGGUGCGAGCGUUGUCCGGAAUUACUGGGCGUAAAGAGCUCGUAGGCGGUCUGUCGCGUCGGCUGUGAAAACUCGGGGGCUCAACCCCGAGCCUGCAGUCGAUACGGGCAGACUAGAGUUCGGUAGGGGAGACUGGAAUUCCUGGUGUAGCGGUGAAAUGCGCAGAUAUCAGGAGGAACACCGGUGGCGAAGGCGGGUCUCUGGGCCGUAACUGACGCUGAGGAGCGAAAGCGUGGGGAGCAAACAGG
rnacentral:rRNA from 1 species